GGUUUGAGAGAAUGACCAGUCACACUGGAACUGAGACACGGUCCAGACUCCUACGGGAGGCAGCAGUGGGGAAUAUUGCACAAUGGGCGCAAGCCUGAUGCAGCCAUGCCGCGUGUGUGAAGAAGGCCUUCGGGUUGUAAAGCACUUUCAGCGGGGAGGAAAGGUCACUAGUUAAUACCUAGUGGCAUUGACGUUACUCGCAGAAGAAGCACCGGCUAACUCCGUGCCAGCAGCCGCGGUAAUACGGAGGGUGCAAGCGUUAAUCGGAAUUACUGGGCGUAAAGCGCACGCAGGCGGUUUGUUAAGUCAGAUGUGAAAUCCCCGAGCUCAACUUGGGAACUGCAUUUGAAACUG
rnacentral:rRNA from 1 species